GACCUCAUAGCACAGUUGGUAAGUGCACCUGUUGGAAGUACAUAUAACCACAAGUCCUUUGCACAGGAGACCCUCGUUCGAGUCGGGGUUAGGUCC